ACUCUAAGGAGGACUGCCGGUGUACAAACCGGAGGAAGGUGGGGAUGACGUCAAGUCAUCAUGGCCUUACGGCUUGGGCUACACACGUGCUACAAUGGUCGGUACAAAGGGUUGCCAAGCCGCGAGGUGGAGCUAAUCCCAUAAAAACCGAUCGUAGUCCGGAUCGCAGUCUGCAACUCGACUGCGUGAAGUCGGAAUCGCUAGUAAUCGUGAAUCAGAAUGUCACGGUGAAUACGUUCCCGGGCCUU
rnacentral:rRNA from 1 species